CGGUGCGCGGCCGCCGCAGCCUCUCGGGCAGCCUGCUGCAAGCGCUCCCGCGCGGGUCCAGAGGGUGCCACGUUUCCGCGCAGCACCUUCCCGGAGCCGCGGUGCGCCGCCCUGGGACAGGAAGCCGAGGCCCGGAGCCCGUAGUGACCCCCGGCCACCGCGAGGGGUGUCCAGCGCCGUGCGGACCGAGGAGGCUGGGGGUGUUUGGGUGUCUCCUGUAAUUAUCCUUCAACUUGAGAUGAUUUUCCCACAAGAAAUACCUAGGAUGGACGCCUUUCCUUUCAAAUAGAUCCAUUCCUGCCUCACCACUUUGCUUUUGCCGACGUCCUCGGUGAUAGGACCGCGCGAUCUUCCACUAAAUCAAAAAGUUUAACUAGAUGGCAUUGAUUUUGGUUGAAUAUGUGAGCGUGCCAAAAAACGAAGGGAUAGCGCAGUGGUUAUGAAACAAAGAAAUAGAAUGUGUGCCCAUUUUUAAACGUGUCAGAA
rnacentral:lncRNA from 1 species